GGGAAUGUGGCUUAGUGGUAAAGUGCUUGCCUAACAUGCAUGAAGCCCAGGGUUCAAUUCCUCAGUACCA
rnacentral:tRNA from 1 species